rnacentral:rRNA from 1 species
UGGGGUGCAACUGACGCUGAGGCUCGAAAGUGCGGGUAUCAAACAGGAUUAGAUACCCUGGUAGUCCGCACAGUAAACGAUGAAUACUCGCUGUCGGCGAUAUACGGUCGGCGGCCAAGCGAAAGCAUUAAGUAUUCCACCUGGGGAGUACGCCGGCAACGGUGAAACUCAAAGGAAUUGACGGGGGCCCGCACAAGCGGAGGAACAUGUGGUUUAAUUCGAUGAUACGCGAGGAACCUUACCCGGGCUUGAACUGCACCCGACGGACGGAGAGAUCUGUCUUCCGCAAGGCGGGUGUGGAGGUGCUGCAUGGUUGUCGUCAGCUCGUGCCGUGAGGUGUCGGCUUAAGUGCCAUAACGAGCGCAACCCUUCUCUUCAGUUGCCAUCAGGCAGAGCUGGGCACUCUGGAGACACUGCCAUCGUAAGAUGCGAGGAAGGUGGGGAUGACGUCAAAUCAGCACGGCCCUUACGUCCGGGGCUACACACGUGUUACAAUGGGAGGUACAGAAGGCCGCGACCCGGCGACGGGAAGCCAAUCCCCAAAUCCUCUCUCAGUUCGGACUGGAGUCUGCAACCCGACUCCACGAAGCUGGAUUCGCUA